GAUGAACGCUAGCUACAGGCUUAACACAUGCAAGUCGAGGGGCGGCAUGGAAGAAGCUUGCUUCUUCUGAUGGCGACCGGCGCACGGGUGCGUAACGCGUAUCAAACCUGCCUCAUACUCGGGGAUAGCCUUGCGAAAGUAAGAUUAAUACCCGAUGUUGUUAUGUUUCCGCAUGGUGAUAUAACCAAAGAUUUAUCGGUAUGAGAUGGUGAUGCGUCCGAUUAGGUAGUAGGCGGGGUAACGGCCCACCUAGCCAUCGAUCGGUAGGGGUUCUGAGAGGAAGGUCCCCCACACUGGAACUGAGACACGGUCCAGACUCCUACGGGAGGCAGCAGUGAGGAAUAUUGGUCAAUGGACGGAAGUCUGAACCAGCCAAGUAGCGUGCAGGAUGACGGCCCUCCGGGUUGUAAACUGCUUUUAGUUGGGAAUAAAAAGAGGGACGUGUCCCUAAUUGUAUGUACCUUCAGAAAAAGGACCGGCUAAUUCCGUGCCAGCAGCCGCGGUAAUACGGAAGGUCCAGGCGUUAUCCGGAUUUAUUGGGUUUAAAGGGAGCGUAGGCGGAUUAUUAAGUCAGUGGUGAAAGACGGUGGCUCAACCAUCGUUAGCCAUUGAAACUGGUAGUCUUGAGUGCAGACAGGGAUGCUGGAACUCGUGGUGUAGCGGUGAAAUGCUUAGAUAUCACGAUGAACUCCGAUCGCGAAGGCAGGUGUCCGGGCUGCAACUGACGCUGAGGCUCGAAAGUGUGGGUAUCAAACAGG
rnacentral:rRNA from 1 species